GUCCACACAGUAAACGAUGAAUACUCGCUGUUUGCGAUAUACGGCAAGCGGCCAAGCGAAAGCAUUAAGUAUUCCACCUGGGGAGUACGCCGGCAACGGUGAAACUCAAAGGAAUUGACGGGGGCCCGCACAAGCGGAGGAACAUGUGGUUUAAUUCGAUGAUACGCGAGGAACCUUACCCGGGCUUAAAUUGCAUUUGAAUAAUUUGGAAACAGAUUAGCCGUAAGGCAAAUGUGAAGGUGCUGCAUGGUUGUCGU
rnacentral:rRNA from 1 species